rnacentral:lncRNA from 10 species
CAAAGUCCUGGGCGUGAGCCACCACGCCCAGCCAGUGAUGUUUUUCUUAAGUGCCCAUGGAGUUGAGUGGCCAGGUGAAAAUGUUCAGCCAGGAAUUAGACGUGUAAGGCUGCAGCCCAGGAGUCCUUAAGGACCCAGAUAGAGUUUCACUCUUAUUGCCCAGGCUGGAGUACAGUGGCACAAUCUUGGCUCACUGCAACUUCUGCCUCCUGGGUUCAAGCAAUUCUCCUGCCUUAGCCUCCCGAGUAGCUGGGAUUACAGGCACCUGCCACCACCCCUGGCUAAUUUUUCACUGCGCAGGGCCAAGGAAAGUACCUGGACCAUGUGUGUUGAAGAAAUGAAGAUGGAGGUGGCACUGGAGUUCUUUAGCAAUGCUAGAGGCACAGGACCUGGGAGCCAGGAUUUACAGGCUGGGUAGCACUCACACCCUUGACUGCAGCUCAGAAUCAGCUGGGGUGCUUUUGAGAGAAAUGAUUCCUAGGCUCCAGCUCAUACCACUUAUGGGUCUAGAAAUCUGUACAGAUGCUCCU